ensembl:lncRNA LINC01811 long intergenic non-protein coding RNA 1811
AGAGAUGUUGAGAGAUCAACCAGGAGACUGUGGGAGGAUGUGAGCUCUCUGAGAAGGAGAAGAAGUAUUUACAUUAGAAGUCUGAUUCACAGGUCGGGGCAAAGUGAAAAACAUCUGCACUUUUAAAAGAGAGGUCAAAAGUCCGUCUGACUCACCUGUGCUGAGUGACUUGAAUGCCAUCUAAUCUAACUUCAAGCUGAGGCGCAUAUUGGACAAAAAUCACUUAUCCAAGACCACGUUACUACAACCCCAGGGCACAGAAGCUAAGUCUUCCUAUUGUACUGAACUCAGUUGACUGGAAUUUGUUCAGGAAAGCAUGAAGUCAAAUGGAAGCUAGUCCGUGACUGGAUUCAUCUUUUGGUAAAAAACGAAGAGGAGACCCCAUAUCCUGGAGGUUCUUGCUUAACCCUGUCCCUAAUAAGACCUAACUUUAUGAGUCUUCUCCUUAGAGGCAGUCCUAGGGUAAGAGUGAUUAUUCCUGUGAGCCUUGUAGGUACUUUCGAAUCAAGGAAAUUAGUAGUUGAUUGCUAAUUAAUUCAGUAUUUAAUGAAUUUAAGUACCUAGGCAAUGAGGCCACAAUAGCAAAUAAGACACAGACCUGUUUUCAAAAAGUAGCCUGUAAAUAAGAUAUUUUUUUCUGCCAUGGUGGCAAAGGCAUGACUAUGGUGAUGAACAUUCAUAGGCUCACCUUCUAGCUCUGUUGUAUGUUAACUGUGUGAACUUGGGUCAAGUUAUGAAAACUCUAAGAACUCUCAAAACUCCUGAUCUGUUUUAACAUGAAAGUAAAGAUAUCUAAUUGAAUUGUUGUGAAACUUAAAUGUAAUGUGACAUCCAAAGAAUGUAGCCCAAAGUUGGAUUUCAGUAAGUGAUAAAUAGAAGUAUUUAAACAUGGGUAUGGUAUGUUCUGUAACAGAAGAAUGUCUAUGUGCUGGGGAUACCUAGAGACAGUGAAAAUUCUGUCUGGCCUGCGAAUUAUAAUAAAAUGACUCUUUAAAGUCAA